rfam:Symbiodinium microadriaticum strain CCMP2467 Smic.scaffold93, whole genome shotgun sequence.
GAUAACUGGCUUGUGGCAGCCAAGCGUUCAUAGCGACGUUGCUGUUUGAUCCUUCGAUGACGGCUCUUCCUAUCAUUGAGACGCAGAAGUCCCAAACUGUCGGAUUGUUCACCCGCCAAUAGGGGCCCAGAUCGGUAAGGCCAUCCUGGUC